AGGCAACCUGAUCUGAGUCCUGACGAAUCUGGAAUCAAGAACGAUUGCAUCAGAGGAUUCAGGGUGUCGAAUAUCCAGGGAAGGAAAAACAUAACACAUGCCCAGUUUGUAGACAUGAACUUCCUACAGAUAAUAAAGCAUAU